UACGAAGGGUGCAAGCGUUGUUCGGAAUCAUUGGGCGUAAAGCGCACGUAGGCGGAUUUGCCAGUCAGGGGUGAAAUCCCGGGGCUCAACCUCGGAACUGCCUUUGAUACAGCAAGUCUUGAGUUCGAGAGAGGUGGGUGGAAUUCCUAGUGUAGAGGUGAAAUUCGUAGAUAUUAGGAAGAACACCGGUGGCGAAGGCGGCCCACUGGCUCGACACUGACGCUGAGGUGCGGAAGCGUGGGGAGCAAACAGG
rnacentral:rRNA from 1 species